rnacentral:piRNA from 1 species
UAGCUGAAAACGUGUUAAAGAAGGUGGA